rnacentral:lncRNA from 1 species
CUUGUGACAAUACAUCAGAAGGAGGAUCAUCUACUUCCAGACCAGACUACAGUGGACCAUGGAUAACUAAAACCACAGAAAGAGAAACCACAGAUGAGGAGGAACAACUACAGUAUUUUACUUAACCAGAAAGGUUCUCUCCAGGAAAAAGCAGAUGUCCCAGCAGACCUCGCCAAUCAAGGCAUUCCUACUGUGGCCACAAAGUCUGAUUCAGGGAUAAACACGUGUUCCAAGAAGGCAAAAAGACCAGUUCAGGAACUUCUGUUAGAUUGCUUGGGAAGAAAAACAAGAUUUCUGCUGGAUUUGAAGAUUAACAAGAGAAUGUGAGCCAGGAGCUAAUGGGCCUAUAGAGUAGAAAAAGCCCGCCUAAUCAUGAAGCCAAUAAAGAGGAAAACAGAAUUACCUGAUGGUAAGAAAGUCCUUCUAACAUCAUUCGAAGCUUUGGCUUAGUUGUCCAUAACAGAAAUCUACACCACCACUCCCGGCUUUUUUUUUCCUUACUUAAGUCAAUUUGGGCUGAGUGAUAAAAAGUCUUGCUUACAGAAAAAAAGUAUUACAGGGAAAUCAAAUAUCAUACCCAAUGGUGAAAAGUCAAAACUGACAACUUAUUUACUGUUUGCGAAUGAAGCUCUUUUUUGGGGAGGCAGAC